AGUAUUUGUAUUGUUAUUUUCCUUAUGGGGUGUCAUAUGACAGCAUAUGUUAACAUUUGUAAUGCAGUAAGAAAGUAAAUAUAAUUAACAAUUUACAUCUGACUGGUGUAAUUUUUUUCUUUCUUUCUUUUUUUUUUCCUGGAGAUUUCAAGAGUGAGAGAAAAAAUAAUUGAUCAACCUGUCUAUUUUAAAACACCAUUCUAUUUUUUGAUGAGAGUUAUGAGAAGAAAAGCCACCUUUCAUUCUGAAAAAUUUCCAGUGACUAAGUCAUGUCUUCACAGAAAGCUCUUCUUAAAUGGAAUUAAGAAUAAUUAUACAGUUUAAUUGAUCUUACGCAAUGAAGACAGGAAAGAAACAUGAAGAUGUCUCCUUCCACGUGUAACUGGUGCCCCCACUCCUGUGAUAUUCAGGGAUAUGAAGGUUUUCAUCAGUUUGUUUAUACCUGUGGGCAUAUUUGCUGUAUAUUUUUUGUUUUAAAUUAGAUUGUUGUUCUAGGAAAAAACCUUAAUA